rnacentral:rRNA from 1 species
GACGAACGCUGGCGGCGUGCUUAACACAUGCAAGUCGAACGGAAAGGCCCUGCUUUUGUGGGGUGCUCGAGUGGCGAACGGGUGAGUAACACGUGAGUAACCUGCCCUUGACUUUGGGAUAACUUCAGGAAACUGGGGCUAAUACCGGAUAGGAGCUCCUGCUGCAUGGUGGGGGUUGGAAAGUUUCGGCGGUUGGGGAUGGACUCGCGGCUUAUCAGCUUGUUGGUGGGGUAGUGGCUUUCCAAGGCUUUGACGGGUAGCCGGCCUGAGAGGGUGACCGGCCACAUUGGGACUGAGGUACGGCCCAGACUCCUACGGGAGGCAGCAGUGGGGAAUAUUGCACAAUGGGCGGAAGCCUGAUGCAGCAACGCCGCGUGCGGGAUGACGGCCUUCGGGUUGUAAACCGCUUUCGCCUGUGACGAAGCGUGAGUGACGGUAAUGGGUAAAGAAGCACCGGCUAACUACGUG